AGCCAAAUUAAGGUGAAACCGCGAAAGGCUCAUUAAAUCAGUUAUGGUUCCUUAGAUCGUACCCACAUUUACUUGGAUAACUGUGGUAAUUCUAGAGCUAAUACAUGCAAACAGAGCUCCGACCGGAGACGGAAGGAGUGCUUUUAUUAGAUCAAAACCAAUCGGCGGCAGUAGCAUCGUUUCGUGCGGUGUUAUUGUUCGUCGCACUGUUUGGUGACUCUGAAUAACUUUUGGCUGAUCGCACGGUCUUGCACCGGCGACGCAUCUUUCAAAUGUCUGCCUUAUCAACUGUCGAUGGUAGGUUCUGCGCCUACCAUGGUUGUAACGGGUAACGGGGAAUCAGGGUUCGAUUCCGGAGAGGGAGCCUGAGAAACGGCUACCACAUCCAAGGAAGGCAGCAGGCGCGCAAAUUACCCACUCCCGGCACGGGGAGGUAGUGACGAAAAAUAACGAUACGGGACUCAUCCGAGGCCCCGUAAUCGGAAUGAGUACACUUUAAAUCCUUUAACAAGGACCAAUUGGAGGGUAAGUCUGGUGCCAGCAGCCGCGGUAAUUCCAGCUCCAAUAGCGUAUAUUAAAGUUGUUGCGGUUAAAAAGCUCGUAGUUGAAUCUGUGUUCCGCGCUGUCGGUUCACCGCCCGCGGUGUUAACUGGCACGUCUCGCGGAACGUCCUGCCGGUGGAUGUGAGAAUUUUUGUUAAUUUUUCCCCCACAGAGGUAUUAUGCGUGUGCAGUGUGUCUGUCGUGUUUACGUGUGUAUGUGUGUAAUAUUUCGCAUAUUGCCGCAUAUUAUGCGUGCACGGCGCGGCUGUUACUGUAUUUUAUUUUCUUGGGUGUUUGUUAAAUUACAAAUCAAUCCACAUCCGACCUAAACAAAUCCUGUCGCGGUGCUCUUAAUUGAGUGUCGAGGCGGGCCGGCACGUUUACUUUGAACAAAUUAGAGUGCUCAAAGCAGGCUAAAAUUUCGCCUGAAUACUGUGUGCAUGGAAUAAUGGAACAGGACCUCGGUUCUAUUUUGUUGGUUUUCGGAACCCCGAGGUAAUGAUUAAUAGGGACAGAGGGGGGCAUUCGUAUUGCGACGUUAGAGGUGAAAUUCUUGGAUCGUCGCAAGACGGACAGAAGCGAAAGCAUUUGCCAAAUAUGUUUUCAUUAAUCAAGAACGAAAGUCAGAGGUUCGAAGGCGAUCAGAUACCGCCCUAGUUCUGACCAUAAACGAUGCCAGCUAGCGAUCCGCCGACGUUCCUCCGAUGACUCGGCGGGCAGCUUCCGGGAAACCAAAGCUUUUGGGUUCCGGGGGAAGUAUGGUUGCAAAGCUGAAACUUAAAGGAAUUGACGGAAGGGCACCACCAGGAGUGGAGCCUGCGGCUUAAUUUGACUCAACACGGGAAACCUCACCAGGCCCGGACACCGGAAGGAUUGACAGAUUGAGAGCUCUUUCUUGAUUCGGUGGGUGGUGGUGCAUGGCCGCUCUUAGUUGGUGAAGUGAUUUGUCUGGUUAAUUCCGAUAACGAACGAGACUCUAGCCUGCUAACUAGGCGUUACUUACCGGUAUCCUGAAGGCUCGUGUCUUUCGUUUCCUGGCGUACAUUUUGUGUGUGUGUAUGUGUGGUGUAUAUUUUUGCACUGCGACGUUGUGCGCUGUGCGCUGUUUCGGCAGUGUAUUGGUGUAUAAUUUCGUUUGUGUGGGAUAUGCAUUUAGACAGCAUGCGCGCGGUGUACGUUCAGUGCGAAAGUUCACGGUUUUUACUACCGGCGUACAUAUAAAUCUUCUUAGAGGGACAGGUGGCUCUUAGCCGCACGAGAUUGAGCCAUAGCAGGUCUGUGAUGCCCUUAGAUGUUCUGGGCCGCACGCGCGCUACACUGAAGGAAUCAGCGUGUCUUCCCUGGCCGAAAGGUCCGGGUAACCCGCUGAACCUCCUUCGUGCUAGGGAUUGGGGCUUGCAAUUUUUCCCCAUGAACGAGGAAUUYCCAGUAAGCGCGAGUCAUAAGCUCGCGUUGAUUACGUCCCUGCCCUUUGUACAYACCGCCCGUCGCUACUACCGAUUGAAUGAUUUAGUGAGGUYUUCGGACUGGUACGCGGUGGCGUUU
rnacentral:rRNA from 1 species